AUUGAACGCUGGCGGCAUGCCUAACACAUGCAAGUCGAACGGUAACAGGCCCUUCGGGUGCUGACGAGUGGCGGAUGGGUGAGUAAGUACUUAGGAAUCUACCCUGUAGUGGGGGACAACCCGGGGAAACUCGGGCUAAUACCGCAUACACUCUACGGAGGAAAGCGGGGGACCGCAAGGCCUCGCGCUAUUGGAUGAGCCUAAGCCCGAUUAGCUAGUUGGUGGGGUAAUAGCCACCAAGGCAGUGAUCGGUAGCUGGUCUGAGAGGACGACCAGCC
rnacentral:rRNA from 1 species